rnacentral:rRNA from 1 species
UACGUAGGUGGCAAGCGUUGUCCGGAUUUACUGGGCGUAAAGGGCGUGCAGGCGGUUUGUUAAGUGCAGGGUGAAAGCUCCCGGCUCAACUGGGAGAGGUCCUUGCAUACUGGCAGACUUGAGGGAGGCAGAGGAAAGUGGAAUUCCCGGUGUAGUGGUGAUAUGCGUAGAUAUCGGGAGGAACACCUGUGGCGAAGGCGGCUUACUGGGUCUUUUCUGACGCUGAUGCACGAAAGCUAGGGGAGCAAACGGG